GAGGGUAUAGCUCAAUGGUAGAGCACAUGGCUAGCAUGCAGGAGGUCCUGGGUUCAACCCCUAGUACCUCCU
rnacentral:tRNA from 1 species